rnacentral:rRNA from 1 species
AUUGAACGCUGGCGGCAGGCCUAACACAUGCAAGUCGAGCGGUAACACAGAGGAGCUUGCUCCUUGGGUGACGAGCGGCGGACGGGUGAGUAAUGCCUGGGGAUCUGCCCGAUAGAGGGGGAUAACUACGGGAAACUGUAGCUAAUACCGCAUAAUGUCUACGGACCAAAGUGGGGGCUCUUCGGACCUCAUGCUAUCGGAUGAACCCAGGUGGGAUUAGCUAGUUGGUGAGGUAAUGGCUCACCAAGGCGACGAUCUCUAACUGGUUUGAGAGAAUGACCAGUCACACUGGAACUGAGACACGGUCCAGACUCCUACGGGAGGCAGCAGUGGGGAAUAUUGCACAAUGGGCGCAAGCCUGAUGCAGCCAUGCCGCGUGUGUGAAGAAGGCCUUCGGGUUGUAAAGCACUUUCAGCGGGGAGGAAGGGUCACUAGUUAAUACCUAGUGGCAUUGACGUUACUCGCAGAAGAAGCACCGGCUAACUCCGUGCCAGCAGCCGCGGUAAUACGGAGGGUGCAAGCGUUAAUCGGAAUUACUGGGCGUAAAGCGCACGCAGGCGGUUUGUUAAGUCANAUGUGAAAUCCCCGAGCUCAACUUGGGAACUGCAUUUGAAACUGGCAAGCUAGAGUCUUGUANAGGGGGGUAGAAUU